CGUCAGAAAGUGAAUUCAUUCUCCCCACAUCGCCCGGAGAGCAGAAAGACGUUGGAUCAUCACAACAUUAUGGCUACUCAAGAAGAUACAUCAAAUUACUUUAUAGGUACACAUGAGGUACAGGAAUGUCUUGAAAGUGAAGGUGAGGCAUCUUUGGAUUUUUAUAAGAAAAACUGUAAAAAAACCCAUGGUGAUUAUAUACCUGU